rnacentral:ncRNA from 1 species
AACAAUAAAGGAAGCUAUGACCAUCUGUUUUUCGAUAUGGACACCUUAUAACAGAUGCGAGCCAAUGGUGUAACCGACCCUUAGGGGC